GAUCACCACCAGAUUUCAGGAGAUGGUGGACCAGCAAAACAAAUUGAAUUUAAUAAAAAGAUAUGUCGGUGCGACGUCCUCUACCUCUAGCAAGGUACUUGCGCCACCACCCACUGCAUCUUUGGAACAUGAAACCGUGUAUGGCAGAGAUGAAGAUAAAAGGAAGAUACUUGAUUUGAUUUCGAGCAAUGUAACAAAUGAUGUGAAAGUUGGAGUAAUACCCAUUGUUGGGAUGGGCGGUGUGGGGAAGACAACACUCACUCGGCUUGUCUACAAUGACAAGGCAUCACAACAACAAUUUCAGGUAAAAUCAUGGGUUUGUGUAUCUGAUGAAUUUGACAUUUUGAGAAUAACAAAG
rnacentral:misc_RNA from 1 species